UUUUAUUUUAUUUUGUGUAUUGCUUUUUUUUUUCGUUUCAUUGCACCUGGAUUUCGAGAACCCACUCUCCAUGUCGCUCUCCUGGAACGUUGCCACAACUUUCUCUCUACAAAUUUCUGAGGUGUGCCUGCUAUUUCUUUUUACAGUGGUUUCCCCUUGUAUUUAUUUGACUUCUCCGCACAGUUUUCCCUCCGAGAAAACAACAUCAAAUACAAGGGAAUUACGUGGAGGGAAUUGUAAUGGCCGAUUUGCAUGUUGCAACGCGUUUAUGUGCUGUGAUAAAAUGUCGAGAAUGUCCAGAAAAAUUAUGUGCCAUUUUGGGCCUAAUGGCCGAGUUGCAACGAACGGACUGUCAAGCCACCUUGGGCUAUAGCCCAGUUGAGCUACAACUCUCCUACCUACAAGAUCCAGAUACAUUUCCCUAAAAAAAAAAAACAAGAUCAGACACACCCACGAACUGUCCAAACCGGCAAACCCCCGCCCCCUCCCCAAAUCGCCAAUCACCCGCCGCCGCCGCCCAUGUCUCCGUCGUCCUCCGACGACGAGGCCGCGAUCUCCUCCGUCUCGUCCGAGGAAGACGACAUCAGCCUGCCGUCAUCGCCUUCCCCGUCCCCCGAGCCCGCUCCCGCAGCCAAGAAGCCGCGACGACCCCGGAGCGGCACGGGAGGGCCGCCGCGAAGCUGGCCGACCGCGGACGAGGUGGUCCUCCUGGAGGCCGUCGUCGCGCACCAGGAGCGGCACGGCCAGCUCCCCUCCCGCGACGACCUCGCGACCGCCCUCGCCGGCCGCAUCCGGUUCAGCGGCGAGCAGGCCGCCAGGCGCGUGGACUCCCUGCGCCACCGCUACUACGGCUCCGUCCGGCGGCUCUCCCGCGGCACCGUCCCCGUCACGGACGACGACAUGAGGGUCUACAAGCUCUCCAAGCGCCUCUGGGAGGGCACGGUGGCGGAGAGGGCGCGGCGCCGGGAGCAUCGCGCCGCCGACAAGGCCGCGAGGCGCCACCACGAGCGGAGGGGCUUCGCCGAGCUCGAGGCGCUCUACCCCUGCCUCGCCGCGGAGGUGGAGGCGAUCGCGUCGCGGCGGCCCUGCGGCGGGGUGCUCAAGACGGCGUUCGGGCUGAUCGGCGACGAGAGGGCGGCGACGCUGGAGGCCAGGGUCAGGAAGCAGCGGCGCGCGGAGCUGAAGGCCGGGAUGAAGCGGGCCGAGCUGAGGGGCCAGGUGGCCAGGACGCUACUCGAGUUCAUCGAAUGAUUUGGUUUCCUUCCAGCAAAAAAAAUUAGUGAUUUUUUCGUUGCUGGCAGUAGCACUAGCACAUGGUUAUUACUGUUACUGAUUUCUCAAAUGAAAAACAUGAAGUGGGAUGGAUUACUACCGAUUUACCGCUGCAUCAAGAUCUCAUUUACACAGUAUGAAAUAGGGCAUUUUCAAUUGGUAAGUAAUAUAAUUACACAUCACGCUUUGAAAUUCGGCAAAUUGGAGUUUUAUUUCCAAGUUCCGACACAUAUAAGGAGUUCAUCUGUACACUGAAAACGAUGACAUCCGAUCCAAGGACUAGCAGCAAGCCUAAAUCUUGCACCUCCUGGAGCAAUAGCACAUAAGCUCUUUGAUUCUGAGAUGUGACAAGAAAUAGCUGAGCUUUACUGGUGCCACAACACCCUGAGCACCGGCCGGUUUGAAUGGCGUCAGGCGACCUUGCGGCUCCCUUAUUUCAGGAACUACAUAAAAGGCAGAGACAACAUCCCGAGGUCCGAGGACGUUUGUGCUCGGUGCUCAUUGAUCACUCACCAAGAAAGCAUUAGCAUCGGCUUUACUGGGUGGGCUUAGCUCCCGCUCAAUCUCUUCCAGGGAUCGCCCCUUGGUCUCGACCAC
rnacentral:lncRNA from 1 species